rnacentral:rRNA from 1 species
GAGGGAAACCGAGUCUUAAUUGGGCGUUAAGUUGCAGGGUAUAGACCCGAAACCCGGUGAUCUAGCCAUGGGCAGGUUGAAGGUUGGGUAACACUAACUGGAGGACCGAACCGACUAAUGUUGAAAAAUUAGCGGAUGACCUGUGGCUGGGGGUGAAAGGCCAAUCAAACCGGGAGAUAGCUGGUUCUCCCCGAAAGCUAUUUAGGUAGCGCCUCGUGAAUUCAUCUCCGGGGGUAGAGCACUGUUUCGGCUAGGGGGCCAUCCCGGCUUACCAACCCGAUGCAAACUGCGAAUACCGGAGAAUGUUAUCACGGGAGACACACGGCGGGUGCUAACGUCCGUCGUGAAGAGGGAAACAACCCAGACCGCCAGCUAAGGUCCCAAAGUCAUGGUUAAGUGGGAAACGAUGUGGGAAGGCCCAGACAGCCAGGAUGUUGGCUUAGAAGCAGCCAUCAUUUAAAGAAAGCGUAAUAGCUCACUGGUCGAGUCGGCCUGCGCGGAAGAUGUAACGGGGCUAAACCAUGCACCGAAGCUGCGGCAGCGAACGUAUCACCCAAGACAACUUUACGGAGUUGACGAUUGACGGAGCGAAGCGACGUCAAAGCGUUCAUUAAAGUCGAGUUGGCUUAGGGAUACGUUCGUUGGGUAGGGGAGCGUUCUGUAAGCCUGUGAAGGUGUGUCGUGAGGCAUGCUGGAGGUAUCAGAAGUGCGAAUGCUGACAUAAGUAACGAUAAAGCGGGUGAAAAGCCCGCUCGCCGGAAGACCAAGGGUUCCUGUCCAACGUUAAUCGGGGCAGGGUGAGUCGACCCCUAAGGCGAGGCCGAAAGGCGUAGUCGAUGGGAAACGGGUUAAUAUUCCCGUACUUGGUGUUACUGCGAAGGGGGGACGGAGAAGGCUAUGUUGGCCGGGCGACGGUUGUCCCGGUUUAAGCGUGUAGGUGUGUGUUCCAGGUAAAUCCGGUUCACUUUAACACUGAGGCGUGACGACGAGGCACUACGGUGCUGAAGCAACAAAUGCCCUGCUUCCAGGAAAAGCCUCUAAGCAUCAGGUAACAUCAAAUCGUACCCCAAACCGACACAGGUGGUCAGGUAGAGAAUACCAAGGCGCUUGAGAGAACUCGGGUGAAGGAACUAGGCAAAAUGGUGCCGUAACUUCGGGAGAAGGCACGCUGACACGUAGGUGAAGUGAUUUACUCAUGGAGCUGAAGUCAGUCGAAGAUACCAGCUGGCUGCAACUGUUUAUUAAAAACACAGCACUGUGCAAACACGAAAGUGGACGUAUACGGUGUGACGCCUGCCCGGUGCCGGAA